rnacentral:rRNA from 1 species
ACGGAAGGCAGCAGUGGGGAAUAUUGCACAAUGGGCGCAAGCCUGAUGCAGCGAUGCCGCGUGAGGGAAGAAGGUUUUCGGAUUGUAAACCUCUGUCAACAGGGACGAAAAUGACGGUACCUGUGAAGGAAGCUCCGGCUAACUACGUGCCAGCAGCCGCGGUAAUACGUAGGGAGCAAGCGUUAUCCGGAUUUACUGGGUGUAAAGGGCGCGUAGGCGGGAGUGCAAGUCAGAUGUGAAAUCCAUGGGCUUAACCCAUGAACUGCAUUUGAAACUGUUCUUCUUGAGUGCUGGAGAGGUAGACGGAAUUCCUUGUGUAGCGGUGAAAUGCGUAGAUAUAAGGAAGAACACCAGUGGCGAAGGCGGUCUACUGGACAGUAACUGACGCUGAGGCGCGAAAGCGUGGGGAGCAAACAGGAUUAGAUACCCUGGUA